rnacentral:rRNA from 1 species
AUUGAACGCUGGCGGAAUGCUUUACACAUGCAAGUCGAGCGGCAGCGCGGGGGCAACCUUGGCGGCGAGCGGCGAACGGGUGAGUAACAUAUCGGAACGUACCCCGUCGUGAGGGAUAACACAGCGAAAGCUGUGCUAAUAACGCAUACGACCUGAGGGUGAAAGCGGGGGACCGUAAGGCCUCGCGCGGUGGGAGCGGCCGAUAUCGGAUUAGCUUGUUGGUGAGGUAAAGGCUAACCAAGGCGACGAUCCGUAGCUGGUCUGAGAGGACGACCAGCCACACUGGAACUGAGACACGGUCCAGACUCCUACGGGAGGCAGCAGUGGGGAAUUUUGGACAAUGGGGGCAACCCUGAUCCAGCCAUUCCGCGUGAGUGAAGAAGGCCUUCGGGUUGUAAAGCUCUUUCGGCAGGAACGAAACGGUGGCCACUAAUACUGGCUACUAAUGACGGUACCUGAAGAAGAAGCACCGGCUAACUACGUGCCAGCCGCCGCCGUAA